GACGAACGCUGGCGGCGUGCUUAACACAUGCAAGUCGAACGGAAAGGCCCUUCGGGGUACUCGAGUGGCGAACGGGUGAGUAACACGUGGGUGAUCUGCCCUGCACUUUGGGAUAAGCCUGGGAAACUGGGUCUAAUACCGAAUAGGACCACGGCCUUCAUGGGUUGUGGUGGAAAGCUUUUGCGGUGUGGGAUGGGCCCGCGGCCUAUCAGCUUGUUGGUGGGGUAAUGGCCUACCAAGGCGACGACGGGUAGCCGGCCUGAGAGGGUGACCGGCCACACUGGGACUGAGAUACGGCCCAGACUCCUACGGGAGGCAGCAGUGGGGAAUAUUGCACAAUGGUCGCAAGCCUGAUGCAGCGACGCCGCGUGAGGGAUGACGGCCUUCGGGUUGUAGACCUCUUUCAGCAGGGACGAAGCGCAAGUGACGGUACCUGUAGAAGAAGGACCGGCCAACUACGUGCCAGCCGCCGCGGUAA
rnacentral:rRNA from 1 species